rnacentral:misc_RNA from 1 species
UUUCCGUAGGUGAACCUGCGGAAGGAUCAUUAGUGAAUACUAGGACGUUCAAUUUAACUUGAAGUCCGAACUCUCACUUUCUAACCCUGUGCAUUUGUUUUGGUUAGUAGGAUUCGUCUGAACACCUCUUCAUUUACAAACACAAAGUCUAUGAAUGUAUAAAGUUUAUAACAAAACAAAACUUUCAACAACGGAUCUCUUGGCUCUC